rnacentral:rRNA from 1 species
AGAACGAACGCUGGCGGCGUGCCUGAGACAUGCAAGUCGUGGGAGAAAGUCGGAGCAAUCCGGCUAGUAAACCGGCGCACGGGUGAGUAACACGUGAGCAACCUGCCCUUAGCUCCGGGAUAGCUCCGGGAAACCGGAUUAAUACCGGAUACGACCACGGCCGACAUCUGCUGUGGUGGAAAGGAUUCCGGCUAAGGAUGGGCUCGCGGCCUAUCAGCUAGUUGGUGGAGUAACGGCCCACCAAGGCGACGACGGGUA